GGGGUUGUGGCUCAACGGUAGAGCACUCGCCUAGCAUGUGCAAGGCCCUGAGUUCAAUCCUCAGGACCACA
rnacentral:tRNA from 1 species